rnacentral:misc_RNA from 1 species
UGCAAUGGGAAAAGCUCCAGAGUUCUAUCUCCUUCCUCUCUACAUGACCUUAUUUCUUCUAAUUCUAGGCACUCAAAUGCCCAGCUCCUGCACUUUCUCUUGUAUGGACUGUCUUCGUCUCUCUCAACUUCUCCCCUCGAAUCCAAAGAUAUAGAGGUGAUGGUGCCUGGGGUUCUCGGACUAUGGCUUAGACCAAGGCUGUUGCGCUUCUGCUUUUGCCUUUCGCGGGCUUUGUGGUUUUGGAACCAGUAAAACACGUUCUUUCCUUCGAUCUUGCCAUAUCUGCCUAGCUGUGCCGUGAUUUGUUCUAUUUGUUGGGCAUUGGGAGUUCUCAUUCCUCCUCUAUACAGCAUCUCCAGUAUACCUAUCUGUUCUUGUGUCGGGUUCCACCGGGUCCCUCCUGGGUGUGUCUCCACCUGAUGUGAAUCUUUCUUCUCGUCAGAGGAUCCAAGUUUUCUAGGGCCACUUUCGGGUCUAAUGAAGCUCUUGAGAUCGAAAGAGGCAACACUAUCUGUGUUGGCCAGCUUGGGAGCAAGAGGGCGAAGACGCUUGCAACC